AUUAUAGUCUGCAUCUGAGUACCGAGGCGACGGUGGUGUAGUGAUGGUGGUGGUGGUGGUGGGGGUUCCAGAGCUUAACCGAAUCCAUUUUUUGAAUAAAAUGGGGGCGGCUUUUCGGAGAUGGCUCUCUCCGCACUGCUUGGCCUCUUGCCUCACCUCUCCUCUGAUCACCUCUCUCAAGUCAAUCAACCUAUCUAGGUCUCUAACUCUCUCUUCAAUUCUCUGUUUUUUCUCUUUGGAUAUUUAGAGUUUUCAUUGUCGAUUGUCUCAUAUUCUUGAUGUUUGGAGUUUUUAGGGUGUGGUGUGGAGACGUUUAGCCCCAACUCGCGUUUGGUUGCCGUGAAGGUUUAGGAAAAUGAAAGAAAAUUCAAUUUGAAUUUUGAAUUUUUGUAGAGUGAUAUUGAAGCCGCCUAGUCCUAGCACUUGUAUUUGUAUAAAAAUUCAAUUUUGUCACCACUGUUGCUGUUGAUUUGCUUGGAAGUUUCUAGCAGUGUCGAUGGAUUUAAAAAUUUUACAAUUUCUACUUUCUCUCUCUAUCAGCAUCUAAGCGUCUAAUAUUAUCUGUAUAUUUGACUGAAAUUUAUUGAAAUGGACGGUGUUGAUGAUUAGAAGAAGAAUCUGGAAGAGGAAAAGCUUCGAUUUGAAGGAAAUGUAAUUUUUGUCGAAACUAGCACUAUGGUUAGUGAGAGUGUGGUAUCUGAAAUAGCACAAAGUGGGCAAGAGGAGCAGAACAAUGAAACCUAGAAGGAGAGUGGGGCUUCAAAGCCCUAGCCGGAGGAGGAUUCAAAGUCUAGACAUAAUGACUUCAUGCUCAAGUCUAUUGAUCCAAACAACCAGGAAUUUAAGCAAGGCAACCAAGGGUGGGCAGAGAGUCAUUGCUCGCAGAAUAGUAAAGGGUCAUUCAAGAAUAACCAUUAGCAUCUUUGCCUCCAUCCAAGUUCUCUGAUGCAUUCAAAAUCUAAAACCUUGCCAUCAUCGUCAACCUAAGAAAAUAUGAUCUUUUAAGUGGUGGCUCAGUCAACACAAACAAGGAACUCUUUUAGGUCCCUUGAUUUGUGCUCCCAUCACAGAUUGUGCCCCUUUCAUGUGUAAAACAACUUGUUAUUCAUAAGGAUGCACAAGGGUUAAUUUUGAAUUAAAUAUCAUUUUUUUUUAUAAUUAGUUUGAGCUAAUCUGUUUUGAGAGCAAUGAGAGUAGAAUGUAGUUCUAGAUUUGAUGGUCCUAAUCUGCUUAGUACUUAUGAAAAUAAGAAAGUAUUGGAAUGACUAAUGCUUGAACAUGGCAUUUAUGCCUUUAAUUUUCCAAAUGGUUUCAGGCAGGAAUUCUCCUUGUGAUUCCUGGACUUGAUAAAUUGGGUUAGGUUAAUGUCGAUUGGGACUAAACCAACCUAUACCCAACCAAAGCCCCCCAAAAUUUUAGCCUUGCACUCAGUGGAAUAAAAACUAGGAAUUUCCUACAGUAGGCACUUGAGCUCCCUAAACUUUUGUGAAAAAUACCAUCAAGGCAUUCAACUUGUUUUUCUUCUAGUCUAUGAUUGCCCAUUCAACUGAUGUCACUUUGGAAACCACAUCCUAGAAGUUUUUUCUUUUGAU